GACAAACAGAAACACCAACUCUUCUGUAAACUCCUAGCUUUAUGACGAUGCUCUAUGGGAAGCCUUAGUUGUCGUGUCUAGGGUUAGCAGGGACCGGUGUUUAUAUACUAGCCAAAAAGUCUUAGAUUCCGUCCAUAAGGGAAAACUAAAACUCUCCUUUCUUGGCUCUCAAGUAAAAUAUCAUAAUCAUAUAUUAUUAAGGAUUCCAUCAAUCCUAUUUCCAAUAUAAGACACCUUAUAUAGGAUUGAUAUCUUUAAGAGAUCAAAUCACAAUUAACAUUAUUCUCCAAUAUUACAUUCCUAUUACAUAUAGUAGAUCACUUAAAGGUUGAUUUAUAUUGGAUAAAUCCAACAUUCUCCCAUUUGGUCUACAAAAUGUAAUAUUCAUGUUUAUACUUGAGAUUGGAGACUAAUGUCACUUUAGUGGCCAUGUAACAGUGAUUACAUCUCGGCCUUAAUGCAGCUUCUGUCAAAUGCAUUUCUUAACAUGGAACUAACAAGGUUGUAGAGUUGACACAACCCAGAACCUUCAUAAUCACACAUGCUAAGAUCCUCAUUUACAUGAAACACAAAUUAUGAUCAAGAGAUGAAACUUUAAAAUUAAACUUUAAAUUAACCAAAAUGUCUUACUUUAUAUCAUCUCAGGUCCACCUUAUUGUAACUCACAAGUUACACUUUAUGCUUCUUCGAAGCCUUAAAUCUACCAAUGCAGAUAUCCUUCAUCUAAUGAAACCACCAUAAUCUGCAGGUGUGAAUACAUCUCCAAAACAAUCAUGCAUCACUUUCAUUAGAUCAAUAAUAAUACAAACAAUGUUUGUAGCCAACGGACACAACUGAAAAUACCAAAUAGGCACAUGUCCAAGUAAAAUAUCCCAAAAAACUUCAUAAAACAAAUUAAUUCAACACUUGUGAGCAAGAUGAAUUAAUAUGUUUUUGACACUGAUCUAUGUACCAUACCAGUUACUUUCAUAAUGAUUUCCAACACCUGCAGGCAAGAUGGAAAUCCUCACAACUGAGGUAGUGCACAAACCAUGCCAUGCCAUUUAAUAUGCAAUUGGAUAACAACUUGAUAUCUGAUAUAUAUUUCAUCAGAUAAUUGACUAGCACACAAAAAAUGUGACUUAAUGAAUCCAACUGGAGAUUAAAUUGAAUACAUGGAUUCUAUACAUACCUUAUAGGUCAUCUGCAAUUGUAAGGCAAAACUCAAACUCCCAUUGAUCUGCAACAUCAUUGCUUAAUUUGCAAAUCAAUACAUAAAUCAUACUUUUGAAAAUAUGCCUUUGGGAAUAGCCUUACUUAGUCAAUGGAUGCAUAUUACCUCCAUAAGAAAGGGAUGCAUAUUACCUCCAUAAGAAAGGUACAACUAAGCAUGAAAGCAUUCACUGCUAUUACACAAAACAUGCAUCCAACAACCAUCUUAUAUGUAUUAAUAAGUCCACAUUUAUGCUAAGUCCUUAUGAGCCCCAAAACAAAUGAUCAACUGAGAAAUCCAAAUGAUUGCAAGUAACAGAAAAAUGUACGCAUAUACCAAGUAUCCACUCAUGCAACAUAUUAUGGAUAUUCGAGUAACCCAAAUUCAUGGAAGAUAGAAUAAUGCUUUAAUAGAUUCAUGCAAGUCCACUUAGUGCUCAAAAUUUUAGAAUAACUCCCACUAAGUUUUCAGAGUUUAUACUUGCAAAUAAGUUAAUGAGUGUGAAGCCCAAUUUUCGUUCACUAAUUUUCCCACUUGGGCAAACACUCAUUAAUAUAUUCUUUCAAAGAUGUACCUAAAGAAAAUGUCUUUAUAUAUUAGACAUAAUAAAAUGGACAUCACAACCAACAUAAAGUUGUCAAACAGAAUUUCAGCAAUGAGUUACACUUACUUUAGAAUUUAUCAUAAUUAAUUUGCAAGCUUGAUUGCUACCAAAUUUAUAUUGAUCAAAAUAGACAUACUAAUCUUCAUAAAAUAGAAAUACAGAGCCAUUUUGGAUCAAAGUAGUAGUCUAAAGUCACGUCUCAAAAAACAUCACAAUCCGCCUGUAAAAACUGUCUAUACGAGCAUGGGUUACUAGUAAAUUCACCAUAAUUAACAUACAUGGCAGAAAAUUACGAAAAUUUUCUGACACAUAGUAGACAUUUAUAUGUUGAACAUAUCCAAAACUCAGGUCAUUUGGUGAUCAUUAGACGUGUCAUUCACCCGAUUUAAAUCAAGACACGCAAUCUGCCAGAAACAAUUAUGUGCAUCUAUCAUGAAUUUAUAUAUCCAUAACAAAUUCAAUUUCAUAUCAUUUCAAUUUCGAUGUCCAAAAGAAACUUUAGUAGUCAAAUUUCAUCCUCUAAACCGACAUCAUAAUUCAAAUUGAAAAGAUUUACAAGCAUAAGACUUAAACAAUGCGUACCUUAGCAAUCAUUGAUUAACCUUCAUGGGUCCAAUACUUUGCAUCAACAAGUCUCAUAAAGAGAUACAAAAUACAUCAUGAUGCAACUGAUUUCCAUGCCUUCAAACCACAACCUUUUAUGGGGCUCAUUGUGGAAAUAUUUGUCACUAAUGACAUGGAACUUUAUCCCAAUAAACUUCAUGAAACUAAAUUAAUUUACACCUGUAGGCAAGAAAAUUAACUAGUUUCUAGUACUAGAUUUUAUGUCACAAAAGUUCCUUCAUGAAAAACUUCAACACCUGUAGGCAAGAUGAAGGUUUUCACAACUUCUGUGAAAUAAAACCCAUACUAUGCCAUCUUAAUUAAACUAAAAGAAGUAAUCCACACUUGUAGGCAAGAAGAUUAUCCCUUUUAUUCUAAUUAAGAUGCAAAGUUGACCGAAGUAACUCAAAAACAUAGUCCCAUUGCAAACUAAGCCGUUGCGUCUUGCUUAGUUGAAAAGGCAUUGGUCAACUCCGCCCUGAAACAAUACAAGAAGUCACAUGGAUUAAUUAACUGUAAGUGACAAAAUUAUGAUAACCUGAUUCGAGCUUUGAGUUUUUGCCAACAAAUGGCACUAAUUCCUUCAUGACUCCCUUUGACAUCAAAUUAAUCUCAAAAUACCUGACAGCAUACUUGAAAGAGAUUAAUCACAUAUAGAACAAGUUUUAUUCCACCACAAGAAUGUCAAAACUUAUCAUUAUGGAGUCAAUUGUUUGAAAUAGAAAUACUUUAUGUAAUGCAAAAGAACAAUACAUUCCUUUAAUUUAAAAACUAAAUUGCUCAAAUGUUUUCUUAAGUCAAACGGGUUCCUUUUCUUUUGUACCUUUCUUUCCGUAAUACAAGGCUCCUAAAACAUUAGCAUCAAAAUCAUGCAUUAGCCUUGUAAAUACCAAAUUAAAUAAAGGAACUACCAAAACUCUUUUCUUCCAAAAGAAACAUCUCCAAUACAUGCCAUACAUUAGCCUUGAUUAAUUUCUUUUCUUCUCCCCUUAUGGCACAUAAAAAUUGAUUGAUUAAAGCAUUGUUUAAAUUCUUUAGGCAUGGGAAAAACUAAUAAACUAUAUACAAGUUUGAAGACUUAUGCUUAUCAAUUUAGUCACAUGCUUUGAAUGAAAUACAUACCUUAUGCCUUCAUAUGUUCACCACUUCUUUAUAAACAUAUUUAUAAUCACAUGACCAACCACAAUUCUCAAAUAAAUAGUUAAAAUACAAAUGAGAAUUGUCACAUAAUUACUACAAACCUUAUUCACUUGUAUCAUACCCUUAUUCUUGUCAUUGGAUGCUUUCUGUCAUUCUCAGUCAAUCCAUAAGUUAUGCAUUAGUCAUGUACAAUUAAAUGACUAUACUGAGAUAGGAAAGCAAAAUUGUAGACAAAACUAAUUUGAUUAGUCAUGCAAAUUCCGCAUGGAGUUAAUAUCAUUAUAAACCGUACUUGAAUUAAUCCCCCAUCAUGCUUAGUAUACUGCAUUACUAAUCAACACAUUUGUGUUAGGACAACCCAAUCCCUUUAAUAAAACAUGCCAUAUGUCCAUUUUAGUUAUUACCCAUGAAAAACAGAGCAAUAGACUUACUCUUGUACUAAUGCCGAAACACCCAGACUAUUUGUACAAAAUAUAGUCUCAAACAAUAAAAUAAUUUAUGCAUUUUUACAUAUGCUUCUCCGCAUGUUUACCAUAUACAUACCAUUUAGAUACUGGUGUCAUGAUAAUUUUACACAUGCAAUGUGAACUUCUAGAUACAUAAUUGGCUUUAGAAAAUUACGUAUACUUAGCUUGAUCAAACAAUUGCUGGCACUUAUGCAAUUGCAAUUCAUGGCAAACAAUAUUAGUCCUUAUUCAAAUGGAUAACAAAGGCAAUAAAGAUUUGGAGUUUAAGAAGUAAUUCCAAAAACCUUAUAAGGUAUGUAAUUAUAUUUUGUGGGGUGCUUAGUGUCCCCUUGUUGCCUUUCCACCCUGGAAGCAGUGACUGGAGCUGCUGGGACCAGCCAAUAGGCUCACUCAUGCAUAUUACUAACGAAAAGUCACGAACAAGCAAGAUAUAUAUGCACUUUUAUAUGCAUGCAUCUUGGCAUAUCUUAAAAAAUCUACUUUUCCCUCGUUCUGUAUGCCACUUAUAUGCAGAAUUAAUCAUGUUCAAAACAUAUAUUUUCUCUUUGUUUUGAUAACCAAGUUUAAAAACUUAAUAGUCAAAACUAACCAUAUGCAUGAUCAACUAAUUAAUUCGCAAUUGACACAUAUAAUGAUCAAUAUUGUUUGCUUUGAUAGGAGACUUUACCGAGCUUGUUGACUUGAGAUGCUUCAUAUAGUCUUCCUUGGCAAGAUUAGUACAGAAGUACAUAUUUUCUAUAUGCUUACAAAAUUGACAACAACGUUAGCCAAAAAGUUGUAUCUACCACUAAAUCAAUUCAACCAAAACAUUGGCAUGAAUAUCGAAAGAAAGCUUAAAGCAUGCCAUCUUCUUCCAGUCAUAAUUAAUUCAGUAAAGAUGAGCAAAGCAAACUGUUCCAAUCUUUCUUUAUGAGAACUGAAUACAAGAAAGGAAGCUUGAAGUGCUUGAAAACCUACCAUUCAACAAUUAUUAGUUUACCAAUUUAUGAGUGAUAUAUCUCAAAAUUCUCCAGUGCAAGGUUAGAACCGACCUCCAUCAGGAUCUCAUAUGCGAUGCAUAUAUGAACCUCCUUAUUUGGCUUUGCUGAUCAACUCAAAUUCUCCGGUGCAUGGUUAGAACAAAAUGACUAUUUCAAUUGAACCAAAACAUUAAUAUGAACAUUGAAAUAGAAAACGUUAAGCACCAUGGUAAUUCCAAUUAUACAAUUCCAUGAAAAUAAUGAACCAACUAUUUUAAUCUUCCUUUAUUAUAGUUAAUUCAAUAUCAUCAUUUAGUGCUUCAAUUAGAAAAGCCCACAUUUGGAAUUGAAGGGUGGUGGCAGUGGAAGAAAACUUGAACUCAACUGGCACCACUCGCAGAAACAGAUUAUCCAAUUAUGUAAUUGUUUAAUUUAACUGAUAAUUUCGGUCUCUAAGACCAAAUAGGAAUUGAUGUAAAACAUGUGCCGUGCAUAUCAUACUAAUAUGCCAAGUAUAUACAAUUAUAUGCAGAACCGUACUAUGCAGUUUUCAAGCAGGUCCAACAUGGUGAUGUUGCCGAAUGCAAUCACAAUUUGGAUUUAAAAAACCGCAGUCCAAAAGAAAAGAUAUUAUAUAAUCAAACUUCAAACCUAAUAGGUUUUAAUCAUAUAACCAGUGGCUCUGAUACCAAUUGUUAGCCUUAUAAGGUUAUACAAUUAAAACACAAACGAAGAGUGACUGACCUGAUUCCAAUGGUAGUUACCGAAGAUGCAGUAGCCAUGCAAGCAAGACGUCAUCGAUAAAACUCCAAUCUUUAUGUUUGCCGUGACAAACAGAAACACCAACUCUUCUGUAAACUCCUAGCUUUAUGACAAUGCUCUAUGGGAAGCCUUAGUUGUCGUGUCUAGGGUUAGCAGAGACCGGUGUUUAUAUACUAGCCAAAAAGUCUUAGAUUCUGUCCAUAAGGGAAAACUAAAACUCUCAUUUCUUGGCUCUCAAGUAAAAUAUCAUAAUCAUAUAUUAUUAAGGAUUCCAUCAAUCCUAUUUCCAAUAUAAGACACCUUAUAUAGGAUUGAUAUCUUUAAGAGAUCAAAUCACAAUUAACAUUAUUCUCCAAUAUUACAUUCCUAUUACAUAUAGUAGACCACUUAAAGGUUGAUUUAUAUUGGAUAAAUCCAACAUGUAUUGUAACCUAAAAAUUUAGAUCAGUACCAGUAUUAUUCUGUGUUUCCAGAUUUGAAACUCUUCUUUCAAAGUGGUUUUAAGAGAAUAUAUAGCUAAUUGUUUGAAUUAAAAAUAAUAAUCAUAACCAUGCUGUUUAGAUUCCACAACAUACAUGCAGCACAACUGAGCCAUGCAAACUAUAUUAACACUGAUUAACCCAGCGAUACAAGAACCAAGGGAUCCAAAUAUAUUGAAAGAAAGAACAUUAAUAUUUUUUUUCCUCAAAC
rnacentral:lncRNA from 1 species